GACGAACGCUGGCGGCGUGCCUAAUACAUGCAAGUCGAACGCAGUUGGGACGGGUGAGUAACACGUGGGUAACCUCCCAUCAGAGGGGAUAACACUUGGAAACAGGUGCUAAACCGAUACUGAUGGAUGAACCCGCGGUGAAUUAUCUAGUUGGUGAGGUAAAGGCUCACCAAUGCCACGAUGCAUAGACGCCCGGAGAGGUUGAGGGGCCACACUGGGACUGAGACACGGCCCAGACGCCUCCGGGAGGCGGCAGGAGGGAAUCUUCGGCAAUGGACGAAAGUCUGACCGAGCAACGCCGCGUGAGUGAAGAAGGUUUUCGGAUCGUAAAACUCUGUUGUUUGAGAAGCGGUAUCUAACCAGAAAGCCACGGCUAACUACGUGCCAGCAGCCGCGGUAAUAC
rnacentral:rRNA from 1 species